AUUUCACUUACACAUGUACACACACACCUCACUUACACAUGUACACACACAUACACUUCACUUACACAUAUACACAUUACUUGUACAAACAAACAUAAACAAACAGCUGCCAGAUUACAAGUCCAGUUAAGCUUUGUAGUAAAAAUCAUAUUUAUAAACAAUUUAGUCUAAAGACAAUCUACUUAACUAUGAUAUGUUGUUGUUUUGUAUUUAUUGAUGAUGUUAUUGUUGUUAAUGAGAUUCUAGUCAAACUUUCUGUACAUGGCUAACUACACAAUUACAGUCGUGUACCAAGGUACUGUGUGUGAUGUUGUAAGGUGAUGUUAAAACCAAAGGAUACAAUGUACAGCAGAACAAAACGUCACGCUGAACAUACCUGUGGUCAGCUGAACAUACCUGUAAUCAGCUGAACAUACCUGUGAUCAGCUGAACAUACCUGUGAUCAGCUGUACUUGUGAUAAGCAAUUUUCAAUUCUCAUAUCAUUUUUAAGGAACAACAUAUAUAGUUUCUGUUGUUCGUUAUUUCUAGAGCUCAAUAUCCACGCCUGAUUUUAGCUUAUGAACAAAAGAUGAUGUGACAUAGGUCACAGAUAUAAAGUGCUAUGAAGAUUUGACUAUUUGCUUUCAGAUUAAAUGUUAGUGACCUAUCCGACCAUACUGUGUACAAUUUAUUUACAUGUACAUCAAAGGAUUCCAUUUGUUCAUCAGAUAAUGAUCAAAGGAUCACGGCUACCAUUGUAAUGUACCAUUGAGAGGCUGUCCUUGAAAUUGAAUAAAAAAUAUAUUAACUGAAUUAUUUGAAGGAAUCACCAUUGUACUUGUGUUUGAAAUAUCACCUUUAAAAUUGUUUGUCCCUUUUUAAGAUUUAGUACAUACAUUGUACUUCAAAUACCAAUUUGCAUAACUUUUCCAGGAUUUUGAGAUACUAUGUAAAAUUUGGUAGUAUUACUUUCAAAAAAAUAUAUGAUCAUCUUCAUUCAUUAAAGGGACAUUCUUUCGUUUGGACAUCAGAAACAUGCACAGCUUCUGUUGAUGAGUGUCUGUGCCUACAUGUAAUGAAAUUAAAACCAAAAUGUACAAGAAAAAGGCGUAUCAUAUACAAAUAUCAUAUGUCUUUUCGGUAAUUAUUGAUACUUUGGGUAGAAUUAAGAAUUUUCAGGACUUAAUACUCAAAGAACUUUGGUUUAUCUUGAGAGUAAACUGCUAUAUUAAUGUAAAGAUUAUAACUUUUACUACCUGGAAAAAAUUACAUAUUUUCCAGAAAAUCUAAUUUUGACGACCUUAACUUUUUUCUAAUGAAGGAAUACCCAUUCAAAUAUGAUGUGAAUUUUCAGUUUUGAUGUCUUUCCUUCCUAGAAGAGGUUCCUUCAUUCAGACCUAAUUUUUUCUCCCGAUACAAUUCUCUAAAAGGUGUUUUAUUAUCGUAUUUAAUUUUGAUAUAAACAUAUGUAAUUGUAAUACCAUUGGAGUUGUAUUUCUCAAGGUUGUCAUUCAUUUUAUCAUGAUAGGUAAAAAUUUAACAAUCUCCAAAUCUAAAUAUUUUAAGGUGUCUUCAAAGAAUUCCAAGGCAAAUUAUUUUUGUUUCCAGAAUGAUUUUGUUCUUUCAAUUUGUUUUCAUUCAAAGGAAUUUCAAAUCUCAACUUAGAUAGAUCAUCUAGUCCAAUACAGGUCCUCUGGGCCUCUUGUUGAUACAUGCCCACUGUACCCUCUUUUUAACUCGGGUCUUAACUUUGGUCAUCUAGGCCUAUUGUCUGUUACAGGACCUCUGGGCCUUUUAUUUAGGUCCUCUUAUGCCUCAUGUCAGAUACAUGCCCAUUGUACCUCUUAUUUAACACAUGUCCUCUGAGCUUCAUGUAGGAUAAAUUGACACAAGGAACUUUAGUAAAAUCUUGACUACAUGUUAUCAAAGAUAUUGUUUAGAUUGAUGCUACAUGUUAAUGUUAUUUUGUUGGUAUGAAUGCUUUGUGUAAACAGAUUUUUGAAACCUGAAAUAUUUUAUAGCCAUGUUAUAGGUCAUUUAAAUAAUACAGUGUAUAGGAAACCAGGACUUCUCUCUCCACAACAUUUAAUAGGGUUAUCUGGGACAAUUGACAUUGAAAGGUUUCUCUAAACUUGACCAGGUUUCAUUAGUUUGCCUGCUGCCAUAUAAGCAUUAAAAGUGCUGCAAGUGUUUUAUGUGGUAUCUUACUGACGACACAGAGAGGGUUUGAAAAUGAAACAAUUUACUUUAGAAGAACAAACAAUGUUUAAACAAAUGUGUACACAAUAAUAAUAUCAAUAUAAACCUUCAUGUGUUGCUUAUUUUUGAUUAUUGCAUCUUUAUGCGCCCAUUAAAACUUGGCGGGAGUAUUA